rnacentral:rRNA from 1 species
GGUUAAGUUAGAAAGGGCGCACGGUGGAUGCCUUGGCACUAGGAGCCGAAGAAGGACGGGACUAACACCGAUAUGCUUUGGGGAGCUGUACGUAAGCGUUGAUCCAGAGAUUUCCGAAUGGGGGAACCCACUAUCUUUAGUCGGAUAGUAUCCUUACGUGAAUACAUAGCGUGAGGAAGGCAGACCCAGGGAACUGAAACAUCUAAGUACCUGGAGGAAGAGAAAGAAAAAUCGAUUUCCUGAGUAGCGGCGAGCGAAACGGAAAGAGCCCAAACCAAGAAGCUUGCUUCUUGGGGUUGUAGGACACUCUAUACGGAGUUACAAAAGAAAGUUAUAAAUGAAGCGGUCUGGAAAGGCCCGCCAAAGACGGUAACAGCCCGGUAGUUGAAAUAGCUUUCCCUCCAGAGUGGAUCCUGAGUACGGCGGAACACGUGAAAUUCCGUCGGAAUCCGGGAGGACCAUCUCCCAAGGCUAAAUACUCCCUAGUGACCGAUAGUGAACCAGUACCGUGAGGGAAAGGUGAAAGCACCCCGGAAGGGGAGUGAAACAGUUCCUGAAACCGUGUGCCUACAAGUAGUUAGAGCCCGUUAAUGGGUGAUAGCGUGCCUUUUGUAGAAUGAACCGGCGAGUUACGAUUUGUUGCAAGGUUAAGCGGAAAAAGCGGAGCCGUAGCGAAAGCGAGUCUGAAUAGGGCGCAUAAGUAACAGGUCGUAGACCCGAAACCAGGUGAUCUACCCAUGUCCAGGAUGAAGGUAAGGUAAUACUUACUGGAGGUCCGAACCCACGCACGUUGAAAAGUGCGGGGAUGAGGUGUGGGUAGCGGAGAAAUUCCAAUCGAACUUGGAGAUAGCUGGUUCUCUCCGAAAUAGCUUUAGGGCUAGCCUCGAGGUAAAGAGUCAUGGAGGUAGAGCACUGUUUGGACUAGGGGCCCUUCUCGGGUUACCGAAUUCAGAUAAACUCCGAAUGCCAUGUACUUAUACUCGGGAGUCAGACUGCGAGUGAUAAGAUCCGUAGUCGAAAGGGAAACAGCCCAGACCACCAGUUAAGGUCCCCAAAUAUCUGUUAAGUGGAAAAGGAUGUGGGGUUGCUUAGACAACCAGGAUGUUGGCUUAGAAGCAGCCACCAUUGAAAGAGUGCGUAAUAGCUCACUGGUCGAGUGACCCCGCGCCGAAAAUGUACCGGGGCUAAACAUAUUACCGAAACUGUGGAUGAACCUCUUUAGAGGUUCGUGGUAGGAGAGCGUUCUAAGGGCGGUGAAGUCAGACCGGAAGGACUGGUGGAGCGCUUAGAAGUGAGAAUGCCGGUAUGAGUAGCGAAAGAAGGGUGAGAAUCCCUUCCACCGAAUAUCUAAGGUUUCCUGAGGAAGGCUCGUCCGCUCAGGGUUAGUCGGGACCUAAGCCGAGGCCGAUAGGCGUAGGCGAUGGACAACAGGUAGAGAUUCCUGUACCAGUGCUAAUUGUUUAACCGAUGGGGUGACACAGAAGGAUAGGGAAUCGCACGAAUGGAAAUGUGCGUCCAAGCAGUGAGUGUGAGAAGUAGGCAAAUCCGCUUCUCGCGAAGCAUGAGCUGUGAUGGGGAAGGAAAUUAAGUACGGAAGUUCCUGAUUUCACGCUGUCAAGAAAAGCCUCUAGGAAGAGUAGUACUGCCCGUACCGCAAACCGACACAGGUAGAUGAGGAGAGAAUCCUAAGGUGAGCGAGAGAACUCUCGUUAAGGAACUCGGCAAAAUGACCCCGUAACUUCGGGAGAAGGGGUGCUCUAUUAGGGUGCAAGCCCGAGAGAGCCGCAGUGAAUAGGCCCAGGCGACUGUUUAGCAAAAACACAGGUCUCUGCAAAACCGUAAGGUGACGUAUAGGGGCUGACGCCUGCCCGGUGCUGGAAGGUUAAGAGGAGUGCUUAGCUUCGGCGAAGGUACGAAUUGAAGCCCCAGUAAACGGCGGCCGUAACUAUAACGGUCCUAAGGUAGCGAAAUUCCUUGUCGGGUAAGUUCCGACCCGCACGAAAGGCGCAACGAUCUGGGCACUGUCUCAACGAGAGACUCGGUGAAAUUAUAGUACCUGUGAAGAUGCAGGUUACCCGCGACAGGACGGAAAGACCCCGUGGAGCUUUACUGCAACCUGAUAUGGAAUGUUUGUACCGCUUGUACAGGAUAGGUAGGAGCCGAAGAGACGUGUGCGCUAGCAUACGAGGAGGCAAUGGUGGGAUACUACCCUGGCUGUAUGACCAUUCUAACCCGCCACGCUUAGCGCGUGGGGAGACAGUGUCAGGUGGGCAGUUUGACUGGGGCGGUCGCCUCCUAAAGAGUAACGGAGGCGCCCAAAGGUUCCCUCAGAAUGGAUGGAAAUCAUUCGCAGAGUGUAAAGGCACAAGGGAGCUUGACUGCGAGACUGACAAGUCGAGCAGGGACGAAAGUCGGGCUUAGUGAUCCGGUGG